rnacentral:rRNA from 1 species
AUCAAUAAGCGGAGGAAAAGAAACCAACAGGGAUUGCCCCAGUAACGGCGAGUGAAGCGGCAACAGCUCAAAUUUGAAAUCUGGCCUCCUUUGGUGGUCCGAGUUGUAAUUUGCAGAGGGUGCUUUGGUGUUGACAGCGGUCUAAGUUCCUUGGAACAGGACGUCACAGAGGGUGAGAAUCCCGUACGUGGUCGCAUGUCUUCGCCGUGUAAAGCCCCUUCGACGAGUCGAGUUGUUUGGGAAUGCAGCUCUAAAUGGGAGGUAAAUUUCUCCUAAAGCUAAAUACCGGCCAGAGACCGAUAGCGCACAAGUAGAGUGAUCGAAAGAUGAAAAGCACUUUGGAAAGAGAGUCAAAAAGCACGUGAAAUUGUUGAAAGGGAAGCGCUUGCAGCCAGACUUGCCCGUAGUUGCUCACCCGGACUUUUGCCCGGGGCACUCUUCUGCGGGCAGGCCAGCAUCAGUUUGGGCGACCGGAUAAUGGCCUCUGUCAUGUAUCAUCCUUCGGGAUGACCUUAUAGGGGAGGCGUAAUGCGGCCAGCCCGGACUGAGGUCCGCGCAUCUGCUAGGAUGCUGGCGUAAUGGCUGUAAGCGGCCCGUCUUGAAACACGGACCAAGGAGUCUAACAUCUAUGCGAGUGUUUGGGUGUCAAGCCCGGGCGCGUAAUGAAAGUGAACGGAGGUGGGAACCCUUUGGGUGCACCAUCGACCGAUCCUGAUGUUCUCGGAUGGAUUUGAGUAAGAGCAUAGCUGUUGGGACCCGAAAGAUGGUGAACUAUGCUUGAAUAGGGUGAAGCCAGAGGAAACUCUGGUGGAGGCUCGCAGCGGUUCUGACGUGCAAAUCGAUCGUCAAAUUUGGGCAUAGGGGCGAAAGACUAAUCGAACUAUCUAGUAGCUGGUC